rnacentral:rRNA from 1 species
GCGGGUCUCUUCGGAGGCCAGCGGCGGACGGGUGAGGAACACGUGGGUAAUCUGCCUUUCAGGCCGGAAUAACGCCCGGAAACGGGCGCUAAUGCCGGAUACGCCCGCGAGGAGGCAUCUUCUUGCGGGGGAAGGCCCAAUUGGGCCGCUGAGAGAGGAGCCCGCGGCGCAUUAGCUAGUUGGCGGGGUAACGGCCCACCAAGGCGACGAUGCGUAGCCGACCUGAGAGGGUGACCGGCCACACUGGGACUGAGACACGGCCCAGACUCCUACGGGAGGCAGCAGUAGGGAAUCUUCCGCAAUGGGCGCAAGCCUGACGGAGCAACGCCGCGUGAGCGAAGAAGGCCUUCGGGUUGUAAAGCUCUGUUGCUCGGGGAGAGCGGCAUGGGGGAUGGAAAGCCCCAUGCGAGACGGUACCGAGUGAGGAAGCCCCGGCUAACUACGUGCCAGCAGCCGCGGUAAAACGUAGGGGGCGAGCGUUGUCCGGAAUCACUGGGCGUAAAGGGUGCGUAGGCGGUCGAGCAAGUCUGGAGUGAAAGUCCAUGGCUCAACCAUGGGAUGGCUUUGGAAACUGCUUGACUUGAGUGCUGGAGAGGCAAGGGGAAUUCCACGUGUAGCGGUGAAAUGCGUAGAGAUGUGGAGGAAUACCAGUGGCGAAGGCGCCUUGCUGGACAGUGACUGACGCUGAGGCACGAA